CGAGGUGUAGCGCAGUUUGGUAGCGCGCUUGGUUCGGGACCAAGAGGUCGUGGGUUCAAAUCCCGUCACCUCGACCA
rnacentral:tRNA from 1 species